rnacentral:sRNA from 1 species
AAUAAGCCCGCAUUAGCGAUAGUAGCGGAUACCGGCCCGUGAUUAAGGCCUUGUGCAGUAUGAGCGGAUAGCGCGGCCGCAG